GCUGGAAGGAAGGGAAGAAGGUAGAAAAACAAGAGUGAAAAAGAGGGUUUCCGAUUUAUGGAUGUAUAUUAAAGCAUAUUGAAGAUAUCAGGUGAUUUCAUCCCUUUAUACACUUCAGCAUAUAUCUCCAAAUGGUGAGAGAGACAGACACUGGGAGUGCUCAUGCGCAGAGGAAAGGCCGUAGGAGGAUGCUAUAAAAAGGCUGUUGUCUGCAAGCCAAGGGGUGAGGCCUCGGGAGAAACCAAGCCUGUUGACACCACGAUCUUGGACUUCCACCCCUUCAGAACCGAAAAAUGUUAUCACUGUUGUUUUCCACCAUCUUUACUAAUGUGAGUGCAUUGAUUUCAUCAAAGAUGCAAGCUUAAUAUUCACACCAGACUUAUUGCCUUUGGAGGAAGUCCUGAGACUUAGGAACUGACUAAAAACCUCU